rnacentral:rRNA from 1 species
UUGAACGGCUGGCGGCAUGCCUUACACAUGCAAGUCGAACGGCAGCACGGGGGCAACCCUGGUGGCGAGUGGCGAACGGGUGAGUAAUACAUCGGAACGUGUCCUGUAGUGGGGGAUAGCCCGGCGAAAGCCGGAUUAAUACCGCAUACGAUCUACGGAAGAAAGCGGGGGAUCCUUCGGGACCUCGCGCUAUAGGGGCGGCCGAUGGCAGAUUAGCUAGUUGGUGGGGUAAAGGCCUACCAAGGCGACGAUCUGUAGCUG